GAUGAACGCUGGCGGCGUGCUUAACACAUGCAAGUCGAACGGAAAGGCUCCUGCUUGCAGGGGUACUCGAGUGGCGAACGGGUGAGUAACACGUGGGUGAUCUGCCCUGCACUUCGGGAUAAGCCUGGGAAACUGGGUCUAAUACCGGAUAGGACGAUGGUUUGGAUGCCAUUGUGGAAAGUUUUUUCGGUGUGGGAUGAGCUCGCGGCCUAUCAGCUUGUUGGUGGGGUAAUGGCCUACCAAGGCGUCGACGAGUAGCCGGCCUGAGAGGGUGUACGACCACAAUGGGACUGAUAUACAGCCCAGACUCCUACGGGAGGCAGCAGUAGGGAAUAUUGCACAAUAGGCGCAAGCCUGAUGCAGCGACGCCGUGUAGGGGAUAACGGCCUUCAGGUUGUAAACUCCUUUCGCUAGGGACGAAGCGUAAGUAACGGUACCUGGAGAAGAAGCACCGGCUAACUACGUG
rnacentral:rRNA from 1 species